rnacentral:rRNA from 1 species
ACAAGCGGUGGAUGAUGUGGUUUAAUUCGAUGCAACGCGAAAACCUUACCCACCUUUGACAUGGCAGGAAUCCUAAAGAGAUUUGGGAGUGCUCGAAAGAGAACCUGCACACAGGUGCUGCAUUGGCUGUCGUCAGCUCGUGUCGUGAGAUGUUGGGUUAAGUCCCGCAACGAGCGCAACCCUUGCCAUUAGUUGCUACGAAAGGGGCACUCUAAUGGGACUGCCGGUGACAAACCGGAGGAAGGUGGGGAUGACGUCAAGUCCUCAUGGCCCUUAUAGGUGGGGCUACACACGUCAUACAAUGGUCGGUACAGAGGGUUGCCAACCCGCGAGGGGGAGCUAAUCCCACAAAGCCGAUCGUAGUCCGGAUCGCAGUCUGCAACUCGACUGCGUGAAGUCGGAAUCGCUAGUAAUCGUGGAUCAGCAUGUCACGGUGAAUACGUUCCCGGGUCUU